GAGAGAUGAUGACCGGGUGUGGUGGCUCAUCCUUUAAAAAACAGGAAAUUCUGUCCUUUAUGAUAACAUGGAUGAAUCUAGAGGACAUUGUGUUAAUUGGAAUAAGGCAGACAGAGACAGGCAAAUAUUGUAUGAUCUCACUUAGGUGUGGAAUCUAAAAAAGUUGAAGCAUGUAAGUAGAGUCAAAUGUUGGUUACCAGAGGCUGGGGCGGGCAAGAUGUGGGGGAGAGGUGAGGGGAGAAGUUUGUCAAAGGGUCCAAAGUUUCCGUUAGACAGCAGGCAUAAGCUCUGGUGUUCUAUUGUACAACACAAUGACUGUAGUUAAUAGGAAUGUAUUGUAUACUCCAAAAUGGCGAAAACACAGGGUUUUAAAUGUUCUCACCACAAAUAAAUAAUAAAUAUUUGAGGCCGGGCGUGGUGGCUCACACCUGUAAUCCUAGCCCUUUGGAAGGCUGAGGCAAUUAGAUCACC
rnacentral:lncRNA from 10 species